UAAGGAAUCUUCCACAAUGGGCGAAAGCCUGAUGGAGCAAUACCGCGUGAAGGAUGAAUGUCUUCGGAUUGUAAACUUCUUUUAUAUGUGAAGAUUAUGACGGUAUCAUAUGAAUAAGCAUCGGCUAACUACGUGCCAGCAGCCGCGGUAAUACGUAGGAUGCAAGCGUUAUCCGGAAUUAUUGGGCGUAAAGAGUUUGUAGGUGGCAAGUUAAGUUGAAUGUUAAAUCUCAGGGCUCAACCCUGGGGCUGCAUUCAAUACUGGCUAGCUCGAGGUAUGGAGAGGUAAGCGGAAUUAGUAGUGUAGCGGUGAAAUGCGUAGAUAUUACUAAGAACACCAAUGGCGAAGGCAGCUUACUGGCCAUAUCCUGACACUGAGAAACGAAAGCGUGGGGAGCGAACAGG
rnacentral:rRNA from 1 species